rnacentral:rRNA from 1 species
UUGACAUCCAGAGAAUUUAGCAGAGAUGCUUUAGUGCCUUCGGGAACUCUGAGACAGGUGCUGCAUGGCUGUCGUCAGCUCGUGUUGUGAAAUGUUGGUUAAGUCCGCAACGAGCGCAACCCUUAUCCUUUGUUGCCAGCACGUAAUGGUGGGAACUCAAAGGAGACUGCCGGUGAUAAACCGGAGGAAGGUGGGGAUGACGUCAAGUCAUCAUGGCCCUUACGAGUAGGGCUACACACGUGCUACAAUGGCGCAUACAAAGAGAAGCGACCUCGCGAGAGCAAGCGGACCUCAUAAAGUGCGUCGUAGUCCGGAUUGGAGUCUGCAACUCGACUCCAUGAAGUCGGAAUCGCUAGUAAUCGUAAAUCAGAAUGUUACGGUGAAUACGUUCCCGGGCCUUGUACACACCGCCCGUCACACCAUGGGAGUGGGUUGCAAAAGAAGUAGAUAGCUUAACCUUCGGGGGGGCGUUUACCACUUUGUGAUUCAUGACUGGGGUGAAGUCGUAACAAGGUAAGCGUAGUGCU